rnacentral:rRNA from 1 species
UACAUGGGGUGCAACCGUUGCUCGGAAUCAUUGGGCGUAAAGCGCGCGUAGGCGGUUAUUUAAGUUGGAUGUGAAAGCCCUCGGCUUAACUGAGGAAGUGCAUCCAAAACUGAAUAGCUAGAGUACGAAAGAGGGUCGCGGAAUUCCCGGUGUAGAGGUGAAAUUCGUAGAUAUCGGGAGGAACACCGGUGGCGAAGGCGGCGACCUGGGUCGAGACUGACGCUGAGACACGAAGGCCAGGGGAGCAAACGGG